AGAGUUUGAUCCUGGCUCAGGAUGAACGCUGGCGGCGUGCCUAAUACAUGCAAGUCGAACGCUUUGUGGUUCAACUGAUAUGAAGAGCUUGCUCGGAUUUGACGAUGGACAUUGCAAAGAGUGGCGAACGGGUGAGUAACACGUGGGAAACCUACCUCUUAGCGGGGGAUAACACUUGGAAACAAGUGCUAAUACCGCAUAACAUUAAUAACCGCAUGGUCAUUAAUUAAAAGAUGGUUCUGCUAUCACUAAGAGAUGGUCCCGCGGCGUAUUAGCUAGUUGGUAAGGUAACGGCUUACCAAGGCAAUGAUACAUAGCCGAGUUGAGAGACUGAUCGGCCACAAUGGGACUGAGACACGGCCCAUACUCCUACGGGAGGCAGCAGUAGGGAAUCUUCCACAAUGGACGAAAGUCUGAUGGAGCAACGCCGCGUGUGUGAUGAAGGGUUUCGGCUCGUAAAACACUGUUGUAAGAGAAGAAUGACACUGGGAGUAACUGUUCAGUGUGUGACGGUAUCUUACCAGAAAGGAACGGCUAAAUACGUGCCAGCAGCCGCGGUAAUACGUAUGUUCCAAGCGUUAUCCGGAUUUAUUGGGCGUAAAGCGAGCGCAGACGGUUUGUUUAAGUCUGAAGUGAAAGCCCACAGCUUACCUGUGGAAGUGCUUUGGAAACUGGAUGACUUGAGUGCAGUAGAAGGAGAGUGGAACUCCAUGGUGUAGCGGUGAAAUGCGUAGAUAUAUGGAAGAACACCAGUGGGCGAAGGCGGCUCUCUGGACUGUAACUGACGUUGAGGCUCGAAAGUGUGGGUAGCAAACAGGAUUAGAUACCCUGGUAGUUCACACGUAAACGAUGAGUGCUAGAUGGUUUGAGGAUUGCCGCCCAUAGUGUCGCAGCUAACGCAUAAGCAUCGACUGGGGAGUACGACGGCAAGGUUGGAAC
rnacentral:rRNA from 1 species